UACGGAGGGAGCUAGCGUUGUUCGGAAUUACUGGGCGUAAAGCGCACGUAGGCGGCUACUCAAGUCGGGGGUGAAAGCCCGGGGCUCAACCCCGGAACAGCCCUCGAAACUAGGUAGCUAGAAUCUUGGAGAGGUCAGUGGAAUUCCGAGUGUAGAGGUGAAAUUCGUAGAUAUCAGGAGGAACACCAAUGGCGAAGGCAGCUCGCUGGAACGGUACUGACGCUGAGGCGCGAAAGCGUGGGGAGCAAACAGG
rnacentral:rRNA from 1 species